rnacentral:rRNA from 1 species
UUGCCUCAGUAACGGCGAGUGAAGCGGCAACAGCUCAAAUUUGAAAGCUGGCUCUUUUAGGGCCCGCAUUGUAAUUUGUAGAGGAUGCUUCAGGUGCGGCGCUGGUCUAAGUUCUUUGGAACAAGACGUCAUAGAGGGUGAGAAUCCCGUAUGUGACUAGCUGCCUGUGCCUGUGUGAAGCUCCUUCGACGAGUCGAGUUGUUUGGGAAUGCAGCUCAAAAUGGGUGGUGUACUUCAUCUAAAGCUAAAUAUUGGCCAGAGACCGAUAGCGCACAAGUAGAGUGAUCGAAAGAUGAAAAGCACUUUGGAAAGAGAGUUAAACAGUACGUGAAAUUGUUGAAAGGGAAGCGCUUGCAAUCAGACUUGCGCGGCGUCGAUCAACCUGGGUUCUCCCUGGUGCACUCGGCGCUGCUCAGGCCAGCAUCAGUUUCAGCGGUUGGAUAAAGGCCUAGGGAACGUGGGUUACUUCGGUGACUGUUAUAGCCCUAGGUGCAAUGCAGCCUGCUGGGACUGAGGACCGCGCUUCGGCUAGGAUGCUGGCGUAAUGGUUGUAAGCGACCCGUCUUGAAACACGGACCAAGGAGUGUAAUAUUUAUGCGAGUUUUUGGGUGUUAAACCCAUAAGCGUAAUGAAAGUGAACGGAGGUGAGAACCCUUCAGGGUGCAUCAUCGACCGAUCCUGAAGUCUUCGGAUGGAUUUGAGUAAGAGCAUAACUAUUGCGACCCGAAAGAUGAUGAUCUAUACUUGAAUAGGGUGAAGCCAGAGGAAACUCUGGUGGAGGCUCGCAGCGGUUCUGACGUGCAAAUCGAUCGUCAAAUUUGAGUAUAGGGGCGAAAGACUAAUCGAA